CGCCGGUCUGGCCGAGGCGGGCGGCCAGCGUCUCGCCGUGGCGGUCGAGCAGGGAUUCGACUUCCUUCCCGGCGCC
rnacentral:tRNA from 1 species